UGACCUGUGAGAAACUUGGGUUGGGGG
rnacentral:piRNA from 1 species